rnacentral:rRNA from 1 species
AUUGAACGCUGGCGGCAGGCCUAACACAUGCAAGUCGAACGGUAGCACAGAGGAGCUUGCUCCUUGGGUGACGAGUGGCGGACGGGUGAGUAAUGUCUGGGAAACUGCCCGAUGGAGGGGGAUAACUACUGGAAACGGUAGCUAAUACCGCAUAACGUCUUCGGACCAAAGUGGGGGACCUUCGGGCCUCACACCAUCGGAUGUGCCCAGAUGGGAUUAGCUAGUAGGUGGGGUAAUGGCUCACCUAGGCGACGAUCCCUAGCUGGUCUGAGAGGAUGACCAGCCACACUGGAACUGAGACACGGUCCAGACUCCUACGGGAGGCAGCAGUGGGGAAUAUUGCACAAUGGGCGCAAGCCUGAUGCAGCCAUGCCGCGUGUAUGAAGAAGGCCUUCGGGUUGUAAAGUACUUUCAGCGGGGAGGAAGGCGUUAAGGUUAAUAACCUUGGCGAUUGACGUUACCCGCAGAAGAAGCACCGGCUAACUCCGUGCCAGCCGCCGCCGUAA